GUGACAUGUUUGCUCGACAGAUGGCAGUGUGAAGAAGAAAGGGGCAUGGGCAGGUCAUGACAGCAUCGCCGGUGAACUGUUAGUUGGAAGCAACCAUGUCGUCGGAAUCUGCCCCCGAGCAGUCGCACUCUGCGCAGUAGAGACCCCUGGGGAGACAAGAAGAGGCCACAGAGAACACAACCACUCCCAAGAACUGUGACCUCCAAAGACGGUAUGAGCUCAAUGAUGACUUCAGGGGAAAAUCGUGGUCGAUUCCGAUCCAAGUUGACAGACACAUUGAAACUGAAACUUAUAGCACAACAUCCACGCAAUGCAAACCAUAAGAAAACAACAGCAGCAGCAGCUAAGCCUGUUGUUCCAAAGCCAACUGUGAAGAAGAAAACUCCCCCUAAACCACCCGUGCUGGUGACUCAGGUGAAAACAGAUGUGACAAUUCCUAGCGUGGCACCAGUGAAUCCUGUCAAUGGAUUAUCGGUUGUGAAUAAUCACCAUUUACCCAAGUCUCACACACUGUACAUUAGUAACCUACCCGUGGAUAUUACCAAGGAGCAACUCGAGGAACAUUUCAGAAAAACAGGAGGUGUGAAGAGUACACGUAUUCCAAAGGAGAAGGGAACGGAGAAGGGACGUGGCUAUGCUUACAUGGAGUUUAAGGACAGAAUAAGCCAUGGGAUUGCUCUUCGUCUACACCAGACCAAGUUAGCAGGUCAGAGAAUUAAUGUGGAAUUCACACCAUUAGCAGGGAAGAAGAAAGAUAAACUAAAGCGAAGACUGCAAGCCCUUGCUCGACCUAAAGCAUCACCUGAGAAAACAUGAUCAUCAACACUGCUGCUCAUCAUUUACAUCAUUGCUAUUUGCUCUCUGAAAUCAUCAUCUCAACCAGAUGCCUUCAGUGAAGAAUCUGGGUAGCUGUCUGUCAGUGUUUAUGUUGUUAUGGUUUGAUCACAUUUCACUUCAUUUGUUACAAACAGGUUAGUUUGUGCAAGAAUCAUUUAGUUGUUGAUUUUUAUGCUACAGAUCAGUAGAUGGAAAUCUAGACAAUGCAGACAAUCCAAUAGAAUCCUACCUCAUUUGAGGAGGUACUGACUGCAGUCUUCUGCUUUUGUUAUGAUCCCAUUCUGUCAAUAUCUCAUUAAUGCGGCACUCAGCCAAGCCAAUAUCCAUGGGAGAUAACUGAGUUGGAAUUGAAUUACCUCCCUUUGGUCGCAGCGCAUGAGUGACAGACAGCUACACAGGUGGGUUUCAUGCAGUCAUGUUGGGUAAUUCAUUUGUCCCAUAGAAUUGUAUAUGCCCUGAUAUUUUGUAAAUAUCAGCUUUACUGUAAAUAUCAUUUAGUGUCUUUAUAAAAUAUUUGACAUUUAUGGUCGCCGAGCCUGGGUAGGAAAUAUCCAUAUUUUGCAACAGUCAUUGAUGUUGUCAGUUUCUACUACAGUAGAUCUAAACGUUAGAGCAAUCUCACUGAAAUCAGAUCCUUUAUUCUCCGUGUGAAGAUCUAAUGACCUCUCAUUACUACUGGAAGGUUGCAUUAGGGGAAAACCAAGCAAAUAUUUACAACAAAAUCUAUGAGAUGAUAACAUGUGUUUAUGAAACGAUCAGAUUUCAACCUUGUGAAAAAGUUUGACAAUUUUUAACACUUAAUUGAAUCAAAGAAACCGACAAAAAAACACAAGUUCCUUUCAAGAUACAGAAUUUGUAUGUACACUUGUCUGAAUACUUUGCUCACUAAUGAUAAGACUCAUGAUUCACCUCUAAGCAGUGCUUAAGUGUCUGAUUAGAGAAAUCUCCUGAAGCAGCUUCCUGUCAAAUUGUUCAUGCAGAGAUCCUCAGGUUCAUGCAGAGAUCCUCAGAGUUCAUGCAGAGAUCUGCAUACAGUGAUGAAAGAUCUGAUUUUAAGGGGAUUGAAAUUAUGUGUGCGUUUUCAGUCUUGCUUUUGUUUCAGUGCUUUCACAAAGCUUAGACCAAAUACUGUGUUUUAUAUGAACGGGAUAGUUUUGGAAAUUAAGUUUAUGUUUUAGUUGAAUACUAGAAACCUUGAUUUCAAAAUAAUUGAUGUUAUGUGUGUUAUUAAUUUAUAUCCUGUUGUUUGUUGCAAAGAUAUUUAAGAGCUAAGACUAGUUUUGAUUGUGUUUAAACUAUCAAUACAAAUCUGAUGUGUUAAGAUUUAUGAAAAACUCACUAUUUAUAUACCUGCUUUAUAUCAUGCUGUAAAUUGCCAUUUCUGUGUAAAUAAUAAAACAGACUAUUUAUGAAAUUGUCCAUCGUAGAUCAUCUAUUUUGAUGUUAUUCUCAUGCUUUCUAGUGUUUGACAGUGUAGUUCUUAGGUAAUCCAGUUUGACAAUCUUUCAUGAUCCAUUUAGAAGGUUACUCAGGUUUAGGGUAGAAAUAUAAUGAAGAAAAUGUAUAAUGUUUGAAGCUGAAUGUUCUAUAGAAAACAUAUCAAAGCUAACUUUAACUGUGUCAAUUCUGUUUAGGAAACUACUGAACUUCAGUCCUAAUAGUAUGUGUUUAGUUUCUCGAACAGACCUUUCAGAAAGAUAUGUUCAUAUAAAUAUUAAUUAUGGGCUUUUUCUAAUGUUAUGACAUUCAUAUUGUUUUAAGGACAUGCCUACUUAAGCAAAGUAUGGAAUUUUAUGCAGCAUUUGGUCUAUCUCUGAGUUUUCAAGCUGUCAACUUGAGUGGGAUGUCUUCAGUCAACAGUUCCAGAAAGUUAUGCCUUACCUUAUCACACAGGUCUGGACCAGGGGCUCCUUUCACGCAGCAGCCUUUACUAAGGUUAACCUUAGCUCGCAUUCUUUAACAUUGCACCAAGGUUACCCUAGUGACUUACAAUCACCUUAGUGCAUUGUGAAAGUAGGCCCUGAACACUAAGAAAUCCUUUGGAUUGAAACUGUGAGGAGAAUACAGUGCUGGUAUUUGAAGAUGCAUGCACAAAGACAAGUAGUAUUCUAACGCACCACUGCAAAUUGUUAUGCAGAGUUCCUUCCCUUAGGUAUCCAUGGAUCCAAUGCAUGUGGGUUCAGAUUUGAAAUUUGCCUUGUUUUUUAUUGUUUGAUUUACAUGUGCUUGUAGGUUUCCAAAAAGUGUUUGAGGUCUGAGACCUCAUUGAGGUCUCCUCCAUAAGGUUGACAAAGGUGAUAUAAAGAAAUGUGGGAAGUGGUUAUUGGGUAUUUAUCGACUCAUCAGAUCAAGGAACCAUCUGUUGUCCAUCCAUGUGUCUGAAAUACAGGUCAGAUUAGAUUCAAUACUUAUGUGGAAUAAUUCUCAACUGAACAGCCAGCCACAAACCAUAAGCCUGUAGCAUCUGCACAGAUGGAGCCAUGCCAUAUCAGGAACUACACCAGUCCGAGUCCUUUAACCUACUGUGUCCCCAUCCACAAAA